UACGAAGGGGGCUAGCGUUGCUCGGAAUCACUGGGGGUAAAGGGUGCGUAGGCGGGUCUUUAAGUCAGGGGUGAAAUCCUGGAGCUCAACUCCAGAACUGCCUUUGAUACUGGGGAUCUUGAGUUCGGGAGAGGUGAGUGGAACUGCGAGUGUAGAGGUGAAAUUCGUAGAUAUUCGCAAGAACACCAGUGGCGAAGGCGGCUCACUGGCCCGAUACUGACGCUGAGGCACGAAAGCGUGGGGAGCAAACAGG
rnacentral:rRNA from 1 species